rnacentral:rRNA from 1 species
UCCGUUAGGUCCUGUCUUUCUUCGGAUUUAUUGGGUUUAAAGGGAGCGUAGGCCGGAGAUUAAGCGUGUUGUGAAAUGUAGACGCUCAACGUCUGCACUGCAGCGCGAACUGGUUUCCUUGAGUACGCACAAAGUGGGCGGAAUUCGUGGUGUAGCGGUGAAAUGCUUAGAUAUCACGAAGAACUCCGAUUGCGAAGGCAGCUCACUGGAGCGCAACUGACGCUGAAGCUCGAAAGUGCGGGUAUCGAACAGG